AAGACAACUCUCAACAACGGAUAUCUUGGCUCCCGUAACGAUGAAGAACGCAGCGAAAUGCGAUACGUAGUGUGAAUUGCAGAAUUCCGUGAAUCAUCGAGUCUUUGAACGCAAAUUGCGCCUGCGGCCUCGUGCUCAAGGGCAUGUCUGCCUCAGCGUC
rnacentral:rRNA from 1 species